rnacentral:rRNA from 1 species
UACGUAGGGCGCGAGCGUUGUCCGGAAUUAUUGGGCGUAAAGAGCUCGUAGGCGGUUUGUCGCGUCUGCUGUGAAAUCCCGAGGCUCAACCUCGGGUCUGCAGUGGGUACGGGCAGACUGGAGUGCGGUAGGGGAGAAUGGAAUUCCUGGUGUAGCGGUGGAAUGCGCAGAUAUCAGGAGGAACACCGGUGGCGAAGGCGGAUCUCUGGGCCUUACCUGACGCUGAGGCGCGAAAGCUAGGGGAGCAAACAGG